UUCGUCAAAGAGAUUCAGAGGAAAGCGGCGGACGGGUGAGUAACGCGUAGGCAACCUGCCCUUAGCAGAGGGAUAGCCAUUGGAAACGAUGAUUAAAACCUCAUAAUGCUGUUGAAACACAUGUUUCGGCAGCCAAAGAUUUAUCGGCUAAGGAUGGGCCUGCGUCUGAUUAACUAAUUGGUGGGGUAACGGCUCACCAAGGUGACGAUCAGUAGCCGACCUGAGAGGGUGAUCGGCCACACUGGAACUGAGACACGGUCCAGACUCC
rnacentral:rRNA from 1 species